rnacentral:SRP_RNA from 1 species
GCCGGGUGUGGUGGUGCAUGCCUGUAAUCCCAGCUACUCGGGAGGCUGAGGCAGGAGAAUCACUUGAACCCGGGAGAUGAAGAUUGCAGUGAGCCAAGGUCAUGCCACUGCACUCCAGCUUGGGUGACAAAGCGAGACUCUGUCUCAA